GAUGUUUUUCUUCAGUAAAAUAAAUGAAGGCAAAUUCCCUGAUAACUGAGACAAAUUCAGAGAGAGGAAGGAGAACUACUGAGCUGCUGAAUUUCUGACAGACAUACUUGCAAGGACUAUGAAGUUCUACUUAGCCUCUUCAAUGAACCAGACUCCAUCUGCUGUAACUGUGACUGCAUGGGGAUCAAAACCUGUGUAUUAUAAUCCUCAUAACAUGAAGCUAUGGUAACAAACAAGCAACCAUUGAUAAAAAGCCUGAUAUGUCCUUGUUGUGUGUGUGAACCACAAAGCAACCAUCACUCAUAAGGAUGUUUUUAUGUACAUCAGAUGUUCAU
rnacentral:lncRNA from 1 species